rnacentral:rRNA from 1 species
UACGUAGGGUGCAAGCGUUAAUCGGAAUUACUGGGCGUAAAGCGUGCGCAGGCGGUGAUGUAAGACAGUUGUGAAAUCCCCGGGCUCAACCUGGGAACUGCAUCUGUGACUGCAUCGCUGGAGUACGGUAGAGGGGGAUGGAAUUCCGCGUGUAGCAGUGAAAUGCGUAGAUAUGCGGAGGAACACCGAUGGCGAAGGCAAUCCCCUGGACCUGUACUGACGCCCAUGCACGAAAGCGUGGGGAGCAAACAGG